rnacentral:lncRNA from 1 species
GCCUGUAGCCUUGCCUGGAGUUGUUGUGGCCAAAGUGCAGGACCUGGCAUUUGGUCUUGUUGAACCUCAUCCCAUUGGCUUCAGCCCAGCUAUCCAACCUAUCAAGAUCCCUCUGUAAGGCCUUGCUCCCCUCAGGCAGAUCAACACUUCCAGCCAGCUUGGUGUCAUCUGCAAACUUACUGAGGGUGCACUCAGUGCCCUCAUCCAGGUCAUCAAUAAAGAUAUUAAAUAGGACAGGCCCCAGCACCGACCCCUGGGGAACACCACUCAUGACAGGUCGCCAGCUGGAUUUAACUGCAUUCACCACCACUCUCUGGGCCCAGCCCUCCAGCCAGUUCCUUACCCAGCCAAGCGUGUAUCUGUCCAAGCCACGGACUGCCAGCUUCUGCAGGAGAAUACUGUGGGAGACAGUGUCAAAGGCUUUGCUGAAAUCUAGGUAGACUACAUCAACAGCCUUUCCCUCAUCCACCAGAUGGGUCACUAGAUCAUAGAAGGAGAUCAGGUUGGUCAAGCAGGAGCUGGCCUUCGUGAACCCAUGCUGGCUAGGCCUGAUUCCCCGGUUGUCCUGCAUGUGCCGCGUGAUCUCCCUCAAGACAAUCUGCUCCAUAAUCUUCCCCGGCACCGAGGUCAGGCUAACAGGCCUGUAGUUCCCCGGAUCCUCCCUGCAGCCCUUCUUGUAGAUGGGAGUCACAUUGGCAAGCCUCCAGUCUUCUGG